ACGUCGGUAUUUGGUUGUGGGAUGUCGGGUGAUGACUCGGAGGCACUGUCGGCUGGUCAGGUGUCUUGCUUAAGUCGGACGUCAGCUGCCACCCCCGACAGUGAGUCGGUAAUAGGGAUUCGACCACUCGAUCGGUCUGGAACAGCAUAGGUCGGUUCAGCCGAUACUCCUUCAGUCGGACAAUAUCGGCAGCUACUAUCGGCAGUCGUCGAUCAGUGCGGUCGGUAAAGUCAGGCAUCGGUCGGAGUUAUCCGUCAGUCG
rnacentral:lncRNA from 1 species